rnacentral:rRNA from 1 species
GAUGAACGCUAGCGGCAGGCUUAACACAUGCAAGUCGAGGGGUAUGCUUCUUCGGAAGCAGAGACCGGCGCACGGGUGCGUAACGCGUAUGCAAUCUACCUUUUACAGAGGGAUAGCCCAGAGAAAUUUGGAUUAAUACCUCAUAGUAUUAUAGAAUGGCAUCAUUUUAUAAUUAAAGUCACAACGGUAAAGAUGAGCAUGCGUCCCAUUAGCUAGUUGGAAGGUAACGGCUUACCAAGGCUACGAUGGGUAGGGGUCCUGAGAGGGAGAUCCCCCACACUGGUACUGAGACACGGACCAGACUCCUACGGGAGGCAGCAGUGAGGAAUAUUGGACAAUGGGCGCAAG